UACGGGGGGUGCGAGCGUUGUCCGGAAUCACUGGGCGUAAAGGGCGCGUAGGUGGCAUGAUAAGGGUGUGGUGAAAGCCCGGAGCUCAACUCCGGGACUGCCUUGGAUACGGGAUCGCUUGAGGAUUGGAGAGGCAAGGGGAAUUCCACGUGUAGCGGUGAAAUGCGUAGAUAUGUGGAGGAACACCUGUGGCGAAGGCGCCUUGCUGGCCAAUUUCUGACGCUGAGGCGCGAAAGCGUGGGGAGCAAACAGG
rnacentral:rRNA from 1 species